rnacentral:rRNA from 1 species
CACGCCGCGUGAGUGAUGAAGGUUUUCGGAUCGUAAACUCUGUUGUAAGGGAAGAACACGUACGAGAGGGAAUGCUCGUACCUUGACGGUACCUUACGAGAAAGCCACGGCUAACUACGUGCCAGCAGCCGCGGUAA